UAGCCACGUGUAUACAGACAUGCCGGCAAGAGCUGCAACAGCGCCGCAAAUGCUUAUGAAUCCGGGGUCAGAGCCAAAGAUAACGUAGCCUCCAAGCAAGAUAACACAUGUCUUGAAUUGCCCUAAUACUACAUGGGACGUUGCCGAGGUUGCCCUGUUACAAAUAAAACCAACUUAGCUACAAGAGGACUAGAGAGGUAGAGGCAUAUAAACUUAAUUUAGCUAAACCAAAGUUUUAUAAACCGGAACAUAAUUGAUGUUUUAGCACCGGUUCACAACUUUUAGGCUCAUCCCUUCCGGUUUAGGUAAGGACUAUGAACCGGUUUAGGUUCAUUAGGUUUUUGUGCUCUGUUCAUAAAUGAUGAUGACGGCAAAAUGAAGCACAGGCAAACUAUUAAACUCAAGUUUAUCUUUAUAGCUAAGCAACGAACAAAAGACUAACCCGAGAGCGAGUGCACCAGACCACUGGAGAAGAAAGCCAAGAAGGGCCGAGACGAGGAUCGCAGAAGAGUUACCCCAAUCCCAUUUGAACAGCAAAACUCCAGGUGGGUCAAGCCAUGGCAUGAGAGCCAAUAAGAAGAAGACUGUAAACGGCGUCGUCUUCCACAUCAAUCUACGUACAUUCAACAAAAAAAAAAGUGUAUUUAUCUUUUAAGACACUUACACCUCAAGUAAAGCAAAAGGGGAGAGAUUCUUACGCUAAGGCAGUCCAGUUAGCUUGUUGUUGAAGAUUAGACCAGAGGAUCUUAUUGAUGGCACUUGGGAUAAUCCAAGCAACAGCAACCAAUGCACCGAACAAAUUGAAUUCUAGAUCGGUUACUGUCGCGAUGGCCACGCCUAGAGACACUACAGCUAAUGCCAUAACCUGUGAGAGAGAAAACAGAGUAAGCACCCAAAAGAAAACCAUGUAAUGACAUCAUAAAAGUUCAAGCGAAAACCUUUGUGGAAGAAAUGGUUUUCUUGAAGAGAACAAACUCUGCAAGGACAAUGGUUGGUGUCACAGCGAUCUUAGCCAUCUGGUAGAAUCCAACACUGGACGGACAAAAACAAAAGCUUUCAAGUAUCAGAUAAAGGGAGAAAACAGAGCUUUAGAUCAAUCAAAAGAUCAAGUCUUGAGGAAUGAACCUGUUGUGUUUGAGGCUGGUAUUGGCGAGACCAGAAGCAAAGGCCAUGACAGCUCCAAGAGAGAAAAGAGAGGAGAAAGGUGUGGUCUUUGAUGGAGGAGACAUAGGAAGCAACGAGAGAGAUUUGAAGAAAGCUAGAAGAAUCCAAGCAACCGCAUAGUGAAUGAGCGUUAGAAAGAUUGGAAAAUUGAAUCCAACUCUUCCCAUCACCUGCAAAAACAAGUUUAAUAACAGAGAGAGAGACAAAGAAGAAUUUCAGAUUCAAAGAAGUGAGCUUUACAAGCUUAUUGGCGAGGAUGAUUCCAACAGCAACAACGAAAUUAAAAGACAUGGCAACAACAGGGCCGCAGAAUCUCUGUUGUUGUCGUUUAGCUCCUUCUGAUGUUUUGAGCUCAUUGUAUAAAGAGCUUCUGAGUUCUUCCAGAGCUCGUCCUACAAAGAGAAUAUAUAAACAGAUCCAAAAGGUGAUUCAUUUUCUUGAGAAGCAAUUCAUCUAACAGGUGAUCAACAUUAAAUUCUCAGAUCAUUUAAUGUGAGGAGGAUAAAGCAUCAUUUUUUCAAUCUCUGAAUUUCAGAAAAAAUGUAAAAUAAAAAGAAAGCAAAUAAAAAAUGGAAGAUGAUGAUGAUGAGUGAUUCACCUGCUUCUGCAGCAUCACUGUCUUUCCUUUUGAGAAAUUUCCUUGCAUCUUUUCCAAACAAGGAAUCAACCAGACCCAUCACACGCAAAUAUAAAAAAAAAUGAUAACUUUUUAACAAUCCUCUGGGGAUCGAUGAAUCAAUCUCCGAUUAUUUCAAUCCUUCUUAUGAGAAACCCAGAUCACAUUUUCCAUUUUUUGAUUGCAGAAAAUGAAAAAGAUAUAGCAGUUGCUUCAAUACGCAGUUUCAUUUAGCGUAUCUUUCUAAUUUUUUGAAAAAUUAUUUCAUCUUUUGGAUUCAAUGUGAUUGGUAUGAUUGUGUUCGGCUGAGGCAAGCGCCCUUAUAGAGAGAGAGAAAGAUGGAGAGAGAGAUAGCAGUUGCUUCAAUACGCAGUUUCAUUUAGCGUAUCUUUCUAAUUUUUUGAAAAAUUAUUUCAUCUCGAAAACUAAGAAAAAUAAGGGAAUUUUCAGGGACGUUUGUUUCCCUUUUCGAGAAAUUUGUUCGGAUUUGGUACUACUUAUUCGGAUUGGGAUUUGUACGGUUAUUCGAAUUAGAGUUUUUUGCUCAAAUCUAAAUAAUGACAUAAAAAAUAAUUAGCAUCAUAUUUUUUGAAAAAUACAUCCGCGCUGGUGCGCGGAUCAAAAUCUAGUUUUAUUAUGAUUACUUUGGCAUGUAUUCAUUUUCGCAUUAGACUUGUAACAAAGGAAAAAUAUUUAAAUAUUUUUUGUGGAGAAAGUGAUUCUUUCAAAUAAAAAGAUAAAACUUGUUUUUCUUAAUUAAAAUUUCAUGAAGUAUAACGAUAAAGAAAAAUAAAGGGCACAAAGAAUGCAAAGAGACACAAUUUGUGCAAGAUGUGGAGCAUCUACGAAGUCCAUCAUCCAUGUAUUUUUUGAGUGUUCACUAACGGUACAUGUUUGGGUUUUUUUUUGGAGUUUAACUCGGGGUUUCAAGAUUUUUUUUUGGUUUUUGGGAUUUAAACCCGAACCCGUUAUUAUCCGAAUUUAUCCAAAAAAUGUCAGAUUCCUAAACGUUUCCUAGAUACCUCAACCCGAAUAAUCCAAAAAAACCGAAUAAAUCGAACUGACCAAAACAAAAAACCUGAAUUCCCAUCAUUUAUCCAUGUUACAAUCAUUAAGUAAACUAACAACGAGAAACUAGAUAUUGGAAGAAGAAUUAAGGGAGGAAAGAAGACUCAUGAAAUCGUAGCUUCAUAAUCAAACAACACGCUUGUGAAGAGAGGCUGUUCUGAUGUUCCCUUCACAGAGACUGGUGUGUACGAUUUCGGUUUGUAGAUCUGUCGGCAAUUAACCAUCACGGCAAGCGACGAGACCCACUUUCGAAAGAGUCCCGCGGCCACCGACACCGAUUCCUAAUGGAAUAUUUGACUAUCAAGUUUUAGCUUCCGUCAACAAGGACCGCCGACUUAUGUUCACAAAAACCUAUAUAUACAUGCACAUUCCUUCAAAUCUGCCGGUUAAAAGGAAUUUCACUUUGGAGAAGAGUAGACGAGGGGAACCGCCAUCCCCAUAAAAUGUUCGGCUGCCGCAAGAAACCUCUAAAUCAUGGUGCAGACUUCUAAGCACUGACUGGUUGACUUGGGAAUGCUCAAGAAGCUAACCUCUCUUCCAUCAUAGUUACAGACUAUGGUAUUUGUGACGCCCAUGCGGUGCAGAUUGGCAGUCAACGACUUGAGCCUAGGUACUUUCAUCUCGUUCGCAAAUAUCAAGCCUGGUUACAGCAUUAUUAUAGCUUUACUUAAAACCAAAAUUAAUCAUUAUAAACAGUGUUUAAUCAGCCUGAAUCUGGGGAAUGGGGGGUAAGAAGCACAAGAAAUCAAUGAUUUACCAGUAUUUUUCAUUAGAGCAGCAACGUACGUAGUUUUACCACCAGGAGCAGCACUGCAACAUAAAAAAAAAUGAAGCAUUCACACAAUAAGCGCGAGAACAAAACUCAGAUUCGUCCACAAUCUAAUAGGUGACAGUAACUUACGCUACAUCCACAAUACGCUCAUUCUCUUGAGGGGCAAGGGCCAUCACUGGCAAAAACGAACUAGCACCUUGAAGCUACAAUUUCAACCAAGUACAGACUUACGCAAACAAUUUACAUUAACCAUUAAUGGUGAACAGAGAAGAGAACAGAAGAUCACUAACCAUGUAGAAUCCAGACAAAUACUCAGGGGUUGCACCGAUUGGCACUUGUGAAUCAUAAACAACAAGUCCGACCUGCAAUUAUUAUCACAUAUUAACGAUGGAACAUUACUAAAACAGGGUUAUGGAUGGGUCCAGAUCGAAUUACUUUUGACCACUUGCUUAGUGGGUCAAGAUUGACUCCUCUGUUCAGAAGCACAUCAGCAAGAUCCCUUCUUCGAGUCUAAAACAAAACAAUCAUUUCGAUCGAACAAUAGAGCUCAAAAGUCAUAAGCUAUAACCAAGCAACACACAAACCAAGUUCACCUUAAGUGUGUUUGUCCGGAUAGAUGUAGGCCUUUGCUUUUCAAAGGCUUCAACUAAUUCCAUAAGUUCAACAGGAGGAAACAGCUGCAAGCAAGAGAGAUAUCCCAACAAAAUAUCCAUAAGUGAAGAGUACUGGGAACAAACAUCAAAUGAAAGAGAUGAGAGAGACUAGAAAGAGAGUAACCUCAAACAAAGCUCCAAUAAGAAAACUGUUGUAGCCAUAAUAAGAAGCAAUAUCAGAUUUGAGCUGUUCAACACAAUCUUUCCUGCUGGCUCCAUUUGGCCUCAAGACGCUAAAGUUUGACAGAGCUCUAACAACUGAAAAACAUAAAAAAAAAAAUCAAAACUUUGCAACACCAUUCAACAGCAACAAAGAAACAAACUUUGGAAAGUUACUCACUCUCUUUAAUUCUACUUUGAAGUAGAGGUAGAUCUGGUGGCCCACGAGCCUCUUCUUCAAGUUCCUAAACAAUGAAAGACAGGUUCUGUUAGAUAUUGCCUCAUUCCCACAACUAGUGUUGUAAUCAAACACAGAGCAUUAAACCUCUUCAGUUGGUAACCGAAACGCAUCGUCUCCAGCUUCCUUGUUGAAAUCAAGGAGCUCAGCCUUAGCGUCUUCCUCCUCCUUUGCUUCUUCCUCAUCAAUAAGUUUAGACUCCUUCUCAAUAUCGCCUUCGUCGGAGUCAGAAUCCGAACCCGAACCCGAAUCCGAAUGCUCCUCUUCAUCGCCGCUACCUUCCAGAAAGUCAUCACCCAAGAGCUCCUCACCGUCGUCGUCGUUCUCUUCUCCAUCGUCAUCGGAGAAAAACCCGGAAGAGCCUAACCCUUCUUCCUCUCCAUCAUCAGAUUCUACAUCGGUAGAGGCUGCUGCAUCAUCGGAAACUUCUUCGUCGUCGUCUUCGCUAGGAUCUUCCUCCACGACGACUUCCUUCUUCUGCUUCUUCAGCGGAGGUGUCUUCUGGGACUUGGCUCCUCCCUUCUUCAACGCCAGAGCUUGGGGCUUCUCCGCCUUCCUCUUCAACGCCAGGGCUUGGGGCUUCUCCGCUCUCUUCAACGGAGGGGUUUGAGAUUUCGCCACCCUCUUCUUGCUACGAGUGAGAACCAUCGCACAAAAAUUAGGGUUUGGGUUUUUCUCGCGGCGAGGGUUUAACACACAGGUAGGUGAUGAAUUUUGGAGUAGCAGCAACUAGCACCCCAUAUAUUGUUUUUGUGUUUACGGCAUAUAUUAAUGGGCCUUGAUCCAGAUAAUAUUAGGCCCAAUUGUAAUAAUGUUAGCUCGGAGGUUGGGGUUUGGAGUUGCCAAGGCUGUGCAUUACUCUGGUCAUGGACCACCGUUGGGGUUGUGUUCAAGUUCAACUACUACAUCUUCAGGAUUUUUAAAAGUUGGUGGCCAAAAGGAUUAAUGUUGAUAAUAUGGUUAAGCUAUGCAGGCAAUGUAAAGCACUAGAUUUGAUUUCAUGUUCUAUUAGAUUUAAUUAUGUACUUCGUAUGUUUAAGUACAACAGCUAACAAAGCAGAGCUUUCAUUCCAAGUUUCCAACUAUAUAACCAAAAGUGGAACAACCAAAUAGAAAAAAACUGGAUCACGAGAACAAGACUCAAAAGACAUCAUUCAAGUGAUAAACUCGUGUUUAAGAUAUAAAAUUGUAAACAAGGGUCUCUUGAGAACUUUUUUGUUUUUGUUUCUCAACUGAAGAUGGAAGCAAAACUCUAAUUAACUAACAUCGCAUCGCAUACCCGUCGUCUUCAGUUGAAAAGUCCAGGGUUUAACCAGUCCCUGCCAUUAAAGUGAAAUAUAUGUGAGAUGUUAACAUCGUGUACACAAAAGGUUGUAGCUUUUUCUUUCCUCGGUUUGUGUAUCUAACUUACUUGGUGAUAUCAUCCAGAUGAUCAUCAACAUCUGUGACGUCCUUCCAUUUCUCAGAUGAAAUGUAAUCUGACAAAACUACAUUGGCCGAAGGCUCUUUCAAGAGUAGCUUGCUUCCUCCAUCUGUUCCAACCACUCUCCAGUUCUUGGAUCCGUCUUUCACACAAAGCUAGCAUGUAAUAUAUGGACAAAAGUAUUACUACAAAUUGAAAAAGUGACCUAGUAACUGCAGCAAAAGUAAAUUCCAUCAAGCAGAAGGUAGCAAAAGAAAAGGGACAACACGAGUUUGAUGUCAAGAAGGUUGCUAGCUCAAUUCAAGUAGAUAGUCUGGAUAUGUUAGUCAACUAGUAUCGUCAUUUUUUAUAUCUUAACGUUGACAGUAUAGGUUUAGGAUGCAGUCAAACUAAAAAUCAAUGCAACGAUGAGAUGAGAGCCGGACUACCAAUAAGUUGUUAGCAAAUACUUAAAAAUCGACCUUCUCAGUUUUUCAAUAUUCUAUUUCUCUCUUAAGCUAAUGGUAAUAAGUCUAUCGACAGUGUAUUUUUAAAUACCAACCUGCAUCACAGGGCUUCGAUCUUUACCCUUUGAUAAGGCUUCAAGCUUUUUGUUGUUCAACUACAAAACAGCAUAAUAAAAUGGCUACUUUAGUUAGUGAUUCAAGUAGAAACUGCUGCAGUUAGAAUGUAAAGGGACAAGAAAUUCACCAAGAGAAUAGGUGCAGGAGGGAAAUAGCGAGAGAUGUGAUCACCAAUGUUCUUAGCCACACCACAGAGCUCUACAUCAUCGAACCUCUCGUUGGCGUGAAAGUAGCCAACAAUACUCAAACCUUGAGCCACGUAAUGCUCCUCUAUCUAAAACACAUCCCAAACAGCAAACAUAUACACAUCUCUCAAACACAGAUACAGAAACAGUGUUGUGCUUCUCGUUAAACCCAAACAAUCCAAGAUCUAAAACUUUUCUAUGUUAAAAUAGAAACAAGACUGACAAUCCAAGUAACAGACAUAACAGCAAGAGUGAAACUAAUAAUAACAAAUGCAGCUACUGUUUCAUUUAGUAAUUAGAUAUCCAAACUCAAUUUUUUUUUUCACUAGUUCAAUUGCAAAGCCGAUUCAAAUCAUAAGAAGAAGAUGGUGACCAUGAUGAGGGAGAUCUCGAGAGGAGGAAGGAGGGCGAGGUUAGAGUGAAAGAGCGGCACUGAAUCGGAGAUCUCCACGACUCCUUCGUCCUUAGGGCUGAUUCGACCGACGAGGACUCCGUUGACCGCCGCCGUCUUGUGACGCAGCGAGUGGAGAACGAGUUUGAUGUAAGCGUUCUGUGAGAUCUCAUACUUCAAUUCCCCGUUACUUCCCAUAGUUAACUCGAUCCCAGACUCAGUCCUUCAAAUCCCACUCGCGGCGAUUGGAUUACUGGAAGAGACCACGUUCUGAGAUCAACUUCGUUUGUUAGCGAUAGUGGAACUUGAUCGGAUCCGCACAAAACCGGGUCUGGGUCCCCUCGAACCGGAUUUACCCAACUUUCUUAAAUUUUCAAUUAAGUUUUUUAAAAUGAUAGAAAAGGUCAGAAAGUUUAUUUCAAUAAGAUUACUGAGUUAGGGAACUUUCAAAAUAAGCACCCUCUAUUUCAUUAUUGUGAACAUAUACCCCCCAAUCAAAUCUUCAUAUUUUGAUCUGUAUUUGAUUAUUUACUAUAAUUCAAUUAGAUAGCAAAAUUAAUAUGCUGGAACUUCAAAUCGAAUUUUACAAGCUAAACCCUGAACUUCUAAAAAAGGAACAUAAUCUAUACGAUAUUUGCAGUUGUCGUCUUCGAGAGAUCUAGCUCAACAGAAAGUAGGGCUACUCCGCUCUCUCUUCCCACGUCGUCACUGUCGGCUUUAGGUUUCGAAACGGCUGUGUUUUGCUUCGGAAGCAGCUUGCUCGAGCUGUAGUCGAUUGAUUUCCCCGGAAGAUUUAGCCACGUGUAUACAGACAUGCCGGCAAGAGCUGCAACAGCGCCGCAAAUGCUUAUGAAUCCGGGGUCAGAGCCAAAGAUAACGUAGCCUCCAAGCAAGAUAACACAUGUCUUGAAUUGCCCUAAUACUACAUGGGACGUUGCCGAGGUUGCCCUGUUACAAAUAAAACCAACUUAGCCUACAAGAGUACUACAGAGGUAGAGGCAUAUAAACUUAAUUUAGCUAAACCAAAGUUUAAUAAAUUGGAACAUAAUUGAUGUUUUAGCACCGGUUCACAACUUUUAGGCUCAUCCCUUCCGGUUUAGGUAAGGACUAUGAACCGGUUUAGGUUCAUUAGGUUUUUGUGCUCUGUUCAUAAAUGAUGAUGACGGCAAAAUGAAGCACAGGCAAACUAUUAAACUCAAGUUUAUCUUUAUAGCUAAGCAAC
rnacentral:lncRNA from 1 species